rnacentral:rRNA from 1 species
UGGGGAAUAUUGGACAAUGGGCGCAAGCCUGAUCCAGCCAUGCCGCGUGGAUGAUGAAGGCCCUAGGGUUGUAAAGUCCUUUUAACGGGGAAGAUAAUGACGGUACCCGUAGAAUAAGCCCCGGCUAACUCCGUGCCAGCAGCCGCGGUAAUACGGAGGGGGCUAGCGUUGUUCGGAAUUACUGGGCGUAAAGCGCGCGUAGGCGGCUUUGUAAGUUAGAGGUGAAAGCCCGGAGCUCAACUCCGGAAUUGCCUUUAAGACUGCAUCGCUAGAAUCAUGGAGAGGUUAGUGGAAUUCCGAGUGUAGAGGUGAAAUUCGUAGAUAUUCGGAAGAACACCAGUGGCGAAGGCGACUAACUGGACAUGUAUUGACGCUGAGGUGCGAAAGCGUGGGGAGCAAAC